rnacentral:snoRNA from 1 species
CAGAGUGAUGAUCAAUCGACACGGAAAGGCAUUCCUCAAUCCGAACUACACUGUCGAACCUGUCUAUAACAAGUUUCAGCCUUGUCUGACU